AAUAGAUACCCGGGUAGUCCACGCCGUAAACUAUGGAUGCUAGCUGUUAGAAGUAUCGACCCUUCUAGUAGCGAAGCUAACGCGUUAAGCAUCCCGCCUGUGGAGUACGGUCGCAAGACUAAAACAUAAAGGAAUUGACGGGGACCCGCACAAGCGGUGGAGCGUGUUGUUUAAUUCGAUGGUAAGCGAAGAACCUUACCCAGGCUUGACAUCCUUGGAAGCACUGCGAAAGCAGAGUGUGCCUUCGGGAACCAAGUGACAGGUGAUGCAUGGCCGUCGUCAGCUCGUGUCGUGAGAUGUUUGGUUAAGUCCAUCAACGAGCGCAACCCUUUUAGUUAGUUGUAUUUUUCUAGCUAGACUGCCCUGGUAACAGGGAGGAAGGAGGGGAUGAUGUCAGGUCAGUAUUUCCCUUACGUCUGGGGCUACAAACACGCUACAAUGGCCGGUACAAAGGGCAGCCAAGUCGCGAGACGGAGCAAACUCCCAUCAAAGCCGGUCUCAGUUCGGAUUGCGAGGCUGAAACUCGCCUGCA
rnacentral:rRNA from 1 species